GUGCAAGCAAGAUCCAAGAAUAUCCAGAACUAUUCCUAAGCCACAUCGUGUAUUAUUAUCAAAUGGCCUGUGAAGCAGAUUCUCUUGCUGGGACAGUUUUUAAGACCUCUCUAUACUGAAUUGGGACACUGCCUGGAAGUUGUCCAAACUCUGCCUUUUGAAAGAAUAUUGAUGACUAAGAAAACUUGCCCUGAAUAAACUAAUGUUAGGACACAGGAAAGCACCCUCACUUCAAGUCAUGUUCAUUCCACAAUCUCAUAUUUCAGAUGUCAUGGUUGCAGGAUUGGUCGUGUUGUGUUGGAGCUGAGAAGAGGCAGUGCCCAUCAAUCAGCAGUUCCUGCGUGCUAAUCCUCACCCCAGUGAGCUGAUUGAGUCCUCUGGAUUCUGACCACUGUGAUGGUCAAUCAUACAGCUGCUCUAUUCAGCCUCAUCAUCUCCCUAUUCUUACAGAUUAUUGCAUCAUGGCCACCAAGACAAAAAGAAAGAGAAAGGGGAUCAAAGUCAUCAAAGCCACGUGUCCUGAAAGAAAUACUCAAUGUGACAGGAAUUUUUCAUCAAAUUGACUUGCUGUAAAAGACUAUUUCUAUCAAAUAGCAAUCAAAUGGUUAUGAUUAUAAGUAAUCAAAAGCUGGAUGUUGCUGUAAUGGUGGUGGUUUCUCCAGUUUCCUCUGGUUUCUAUUCAGAAUGCAUAUAAAUCUCGCCUUUUAAUUUUGAGGCCAUUUCUCUAACCCUUACAAUUCUAUUACUUAUUUAAACCUCAAACUCGGAAAGCAAUGAUGUCAGAAACAAUCAGUAGUUCUACUCAUAGCAAGUCCAUCACAAUUUUUUUUACUCUGAUUCUGACAUUGAUUCAAUAACUUUGUAAAAAUUAUUUGUCACCUGCCAAUUGACUUCUAUGGUAAUGAGAAUCAUCUGGCAUUUUGCUACAGUUACCAAAUAACAAAGAAAUAUCGUGAAAAAUCACUUAUUAGAAUUAUCUUCACAUUUGUGAAAUAUUUGUUAAACAUUUUGAUGCUUGUGACAGUGUCAGAAGUAAUUAUUGCAACUAUAUUGCAACUGUAUUACCAAACUGAGCUGGUGACAAUCAAUUCUUAUUACAUGUAAUGGUGUGAAACAGUAUUUCCUGUAAAAGAGUGGUAUAGCCUUUUGAAAUUGGUUUCCAUGAAGAAUUUAUUUUUCAUCUCCUUAUCUUGAUAAAAAGAUAUUCCAGAGAUAAGUAAAAGUUCUGCUUAAAUCUUUCUUUUUGUUGAUAAACUGAAAACUUAUCCUGUAAAGAUAAUUUUCUUUUUUUCUUAAAGACUCAGAUUACUUAUUAUUAUUUUUUAUUAACAUAUAAAUGACAAAUAAAAAUUGUACAUAUAUGGUAUAUAACGUGAUGUUUUGAUAUAAUAUACAUUGUGAAAUAGUUAAAUCAAGCUAAUUGAUAUAUCCAAGACCUCACAUACUUUGGUUGUUGUAAGAACAUGUAAGAUCUAAUCUCUUAGCAACUUUAAAGUAUACAAUAUAUUGUUA
rnacentral:lncRNA from 1 species